UGUAGACUUAUCUUCCUUACAGAACUGU
rnacentral:piRNA from 1 species